rnacentral:rRNA from 1 species
CUACGGGUCGCAGCAGGCGCGGAAACUUUACAAUGCACGCAAGUGUGAUAAGGGAAUCCAAAGUGCUUACGUUUUACGUAGGCUUUUGCCAAGUCUAAACAGCUUGGAGAAUAAGUGGUGGGUAAGACUGGUGCCAGCAGCCGCGGUAACCCCAGCGGCCACGAGUGGGAGUCGCUUUUAUUGGGCCUAAAGCGUUCGUAGCCUGUUUAGUAAGUCUUUUGUGAAAUUGUCAGGCUUAACCUGACAGCGUGCAAGAGAUACUACUUUUCUUGGGACCGGGAGGAGUAUGAGGUAUUCCAUGGGGAACGGUAAAAUGUAAUAAUCCAUGGAGGACCACCAGUGGCGAAGGCGUCAUACUAGAACGGAUUCGACGGUGAGGGACGAAGGCCAGGGGAGCAAAACGGAUUAGAUACCCGCGUAGUC